rnacentral:rRNA from 1 species
CCUACGGGAGGCAGCAGUGAGGAAUAUUGGUCAAUGGACGAGAGUCUGAACCAGCCAAGUAGCGUGAAGGAUGACUGCCCUAUGGGUUGUAAACUUCUUUUAUAUGGGAAUAAAAUGUUCCACGUGUGGGAUUUUGUAUGUACCAUAUGAAUAAGGAUCGGCUAACUCCGUGCCAGCAGCCGCGGUAAUACGGAGGAUCCGAGCGUUAUCCGGAUUUAUUGGGUUUAAAGGGAGCGUAGGUGGAUUGUUAAGUCAGUUGUGAAAGUUUGCGGCUCAACCGUAAAAUUGCAGUUGAAACUGGCAGUCUUGAGGACAGUAGAGGUGGGCGGAAUUCGUGGUGGAGCGGUGAAAUGCUUAGAUAUCACGAAGAACUCCGAUUGCGAAGGCAGUUCACUGGACUGCAACUGACACUGAGGCUCGAAAGUGUGGGUAUCAAACAGGAUUAGAUACCCCAGUAGUC